UACGAAGGGGGCUAGCGUUGCUCGGAAUCACUGGGCGUAAAGCGCACGUAGGCGGAUCUUUAAGUCAGGGGUGAAAUCCCAAGGCUCAACCUUGGAACUGCCUUUGAUACUGGGGAUCUCGAGUCCGGAAGAGGCGAGUGGAACUCCUGGUGUAGCGGUGGAAUGCGCAGAUAUCAGGAAGAACACCAACGGCGAAGGCAGCUCGCUGGGACGGAACUGACGCUAAGGCGCGAAAGCGUGGGGAGCGAACAGG
rnacentral:rRNA from 1 species